rnacentral:rRNA from 1 species
GACAGAGGUGCCAAGCGUUAGGCGGAAUCACUGGGCUUAAAGCGUGUGUAGGCGGAUGCCUAAGUACCUUGUGAAAUCCCCCGGCUCAACCGGGGAACUGCUGGGUAUACUGGGUGUCUUGGGUCAUCUAGGGGCUGCCGGAACAAAUGGUGGAGCGGUGAAAUGCGUAGAUAUCAUUUGGAACGCCAACGGCGAAAGCAGGCAGCUGGGGAUGCACAGACGCUGAGACACGAAAGCCAGGGGAGCGAACGGG